GUUGAAGAACGCAGUGAAAUGCGAUAAGUAAUGUGAAUUGCAGAAUUCAGUGAAUCAUCGAGUCUUUGAACGCACAUUGCGCCCCCUGGUAUUCCGGGGGGCAUGCCUGUCCGAGCGUCAUUGCUGCCCUCAAGCACGGCUUGUGUGUUGGGCCCCGUCCCCUCCCCCGGGGACGGGCCCGAAAGGCAGCGGCGGCACCGCGUCCGAUCCUCGAGCGUAUGGGGCUUUGUCACCCGCUCUGUAGGCCCGGCCGGCGCCAGCCGACACCCAACUUUUAUUUCUAAGGUUGACCUCGGAUCAGGUAGGGAUACCCGCUGAACUUAAGCAUAUCAAUAAGCGGAGGA
rnacentral:misc_RNA from 1 species